UUUUUUUUAAAGAGCAAAACCAGCUGCCUGAAAGGGCCUAAUUUUGGCCCAAAAUUUUUUUUUCCCCUCUUAAGAUCAAGGUCAGCGGGCCCAAAGAACCAAAAUCAAUGAGGGAAAAUUAGGCCCAAUGACCUCCUAAAUGUAACUAAAUUGGAUUAUACCCUUUUAAAACUAAUUAAACCAAUUCACCCGUAAUUAAUACGUCCUAAACAUAAAACUCAAUUUUCAUUCACUACAAACCCACCCAAUCUUCAAUUAGUACAAAAAGACAUAAAAACGCCAUGCCUCUCUCUGCUCUCCUUCGCGAUUUUUCUCAUGCCAUUUUCUGCAGUUUUCACCUCCGUCCGUUACCGCUGCUUUUGUCUUCAUCCAUUGUCUCCCCAUUCUCCUAUUCGUGGUGUACCAUAAACACCAGUUUGCGUGGAUCGAAAUAGCAGAAGCCCUAAGCUUUUUGGAUCCAAAUUGCCGAUUUCAUGUCGUGCCCGUCCUUUUUUCGCCUUCUCCUUCUUCUAUUCGUUGAUAUUACUGCAAAAACCCUAAUUCACAAAUAGAAGAAACCCUAGCUGUUCCGAUUUUAACUUUUUCACUCCGAAAUCUGACUCCUAUUUCUACAAUGGUUAGAGAAAUUGAUUUGAAGAGGAAAUGAGAUAUUGAUGGUGAAUCAUCUUCAAAGAAAAAGAAGAGAAGAACUUAUAAACCCAAGUGAUGUCAUUUUCACUCAAGAAUUUGACAUCAUCUGCAGGGUAUUUCAGUGAGCUAUAUUAAGCAUUGAUCAUGGGCUCUGGAGUUUGGUUCAAGAAUAUAAUGAGCAAAAAGAAAGUGAGAGGUGACAAAUCACAAAAAUUGACGGCUCGUGAGUUGUGACGAGAUCAUUCUCAAGGGUGUAAUUCCAUAAUUAUCGUCUAAAUUCCACUUCUUAGGUAAGCAAUGGCUUGCCCUAACUUGUUAUUGAAGAUAUUGGAAAUAUUUGAAACCUUAUCGGCAUAUAUAAUUGCAGCCUUGUCGGCUUAUAUGAUUGGUUAUUGUGGAAUGAACAAUUGUACAAGCGCACAUAGUAACUGUAUUAGAAAUUGUAAUUGUGUGAUGAUUGAGAUAUUUUGUAAUUGUUUUUUAGGUUAAUCAUUGGACAUUAGGUACAUACUCAUACACUAUGCCUCCUAAAUAUGAGUCUGGUACUCAAAAGAGGAAAAUGAAACGAAAUAUAGCGUUUGAAACACAUUAGACUCAUUUACUAUGCCUCUCUUGAAUAGUAUUCAACUAAUUGUUUGAAA